GAUGAACGCUGGCGGCGUGCCUAAUGCAUGCAAGUCGAGCGAACAGACGAGGAGCUUGCUCCUCUGACGUUAGCGGCGGACGGGUGAGUAACACGUGGAUAACCUACCUAUAAGACUGGGAUAACUUCGGGAAACCGGAGCUAAUACCGGAUAAUAUAUUGAACCGCAUGGUUCAAUAGUGAAAGACGGUUUUGCCGUCACUUAUAGAUGGAUCCGCGCCGCAUUAGCUAGUUGGUAAGGUAACGGCUUACCAAGGCAACGAUGCGUAGCCGACCUGAGAGGGUGAUCGGCCACACUGGAACUGAGACACGGUCCAGACUCCUACGGGAGGCAGCAGUAGGGAAUCUUCCGCAAUGGGCGAAAGCCUGACGGAGCAACGCCGCGUGAGUGAUGAAGGUCUUCGGAUCGUAAAACUCUGUUAUUAGGGAAGAACAAAUGUGUAAGUAACUAUGCACGUCUUGACGGUACCUAAUCAGAAAGCCACGGCUAACUACGUG
rnacentral:rRNA from 1 species